GUGGGGAAUCUUAGACAAUGGGCGCAAGCCUGAUCUAGCCAUGCCGCGUGAGCGAUGAAGGCCUUAGGGUUGUAAAGCUCUUUCAGCUGGGAAGAUAAUGACGGUACCAGCAGAAGAAGCCCCGGCUAACUCCGUGCCAGCAGCCGCGGUAAUACGGAGGGGGCUAGCGUUGUUCGGAAUUACUGGGCGGAAAGCGCACGUAGGCGGAUCAGAAAGUCAGAGGUGAAAUCCCAGGGCUCAACCUUGGAACUGCCUUUGAAACUCCUGAUCUUGAGGUCGAGAGAGGUGAGUGGAAUUCCGAGUGUAGAGGUGAAAUUCGUAGAUAUUCGGAGGAACACCAGUGGCGAAGGCGGCUCACUGGCUCGAUACUGACGCUGAGGUGCGAAAGCGUGGGGAGCAAACAGGAUUAGAUACCCGGGUAGUCC
rnacentral:rRNA from 1 species